GAUGAACGCUGGCGGCGUGCCUAAUACAUGCAAGUCGAGCGAACGGACGAGAAGCUUGCUUCUCUGAUGUUAGCGGCGGACGGGUGAGUAACACGUGGAUAACCUACCUAUAAGACUGGGAUAACUUCGGGAAACCGGAGCUAGUACCGGAUAAUAUUUUGAACCGCAUGGUUCAAAAGUGAAAGACGGUCUUGCUGUCGCUUAUAGAUGGAUCCGCGCUGCAUUAGCUAGUUGGUAAGGUAACGGCUUACCAAGGCAACGAUGCAUAGCCGACCUGAGAGGGUGAUCGGCCACACUGGAACUGAGACACGGUCCAGACUCCUACGGGAGGCAGCAGUAGGGAAUCUUCCGCAAUGGGCGAAAGCCUGACGGAGCAACGCCGCGUGAGUGAUGAAGGUCUUCGGAUCGUAAAACUCUGUUAUUAGGGAAGAACAUAUGUGUAAGUAACUGUGCACAUCUUGACGGUACCUAAUCAGAAAGCCACGGCUAACUACGUG
rnacentral:rRNA from 1 species